rnacentral:rRNA from 1 species
GAUGAACGCUGGCGGCGUGCCUAACACAUGCAAGUCGAGCGAGAAGCUUAUGAAGGAUCCUUCGGGUGACUGAUUAAGUGGAAAGCGGCGGACGGGUGAGUAACGCGUGGGUAACCUGCCCCAUACAAAGGGAUAGCCACUGGAAACGGUGAUUAAUACCAUAUGAGAUCGUAGAGUCGCAUGACUUAGCGGUUAAAGAUUUAUCGGUAUGGGAUGGACCCGCGUCUGAUUAGCUAGUUGGUAAGGUAACGGCUUACCAAGGCGACGAUCAGUAGCCGACCUGAGAGGGUGAUCGGCCACACUGGAACUGAGACACGGUCCAGACUCCUACGGGAGGCAGCAGUGGGGAAUAUUGCACAAUGGGCGAAAGCCUGAUGCAGCGACGCCGCGUGAACGAUGAAGGCUUUCGAGUCGUAAAAGUUCUGUUCUUGGGGAAGAUAACGACGGUACCCAAGGAGAAAGCACCGGCUAAAUACGUG